AAAGAAACUAACAAGGAUUCCCCUAGUAACUGCGAGUGAAGCGGGAAAAGCUCAAAUUUAAAAUCUGGUAGUCUUUUGGCUGCCCGAGUUGUAAUCUAGAGAAGUGUUAUCCGCGCUGGACCGUGUACAAGUCUCCUGGAAUGGAGCGUCAUAGAGGGUGAGAAUCCCGUCUUUGACACGGACUACCAGGGCUUUGUGAUAUGCUCUCAAAGAGUCGAGUUGUUUGGGAAUGCAGCUCUAAAUGGGUGGUAAAUUCCAUCUAAAGCUAAAUAUUGGCGAGAGACCGAUAGCGAACAAGUACCGUGAGGGAAAGAUGAAAAGAACUUUGGAAAGAGAGUUAAACAGUACGUGAAAUUGUUGAAAGGGAAACGCUUGAAGUCAGUCGCGUUGACCAGGGAUCAACCUUGCUUUUCUGCUUGGUGUACUUUCUGGUUGAUGGGUCAGCAUCAAUUUUGACCAGUGGAAAAAGGUCAGGGGAAUGUGGCAUCUUCGGAUGUGUUAUAGCCCUUGGUUGCAUACAUUGGUUGGGAUUGAGGAACUCAGCACGCCGAAAGGCCGGGUAUUUACCACGUAACGUGCUUAGGAUGCUGGCAUAAUGGCUUUAAUCGACC
rnacentral:rRNA from 1 species